rnacentral:rRNA from 1 species
UACGAAGGGGGCUAGCGUUGCUCGGAAUUACUGGGCGUAAAGCGCACGUAGGCGGCUCUUUAAGUCGGAGGUGAAAUCCUGGAGCUCAACUCCAGAACUGCCUUCGAUACUGAAGAGCUCGAGUCCGGGAGAGGUGAGUGGAACUGCGAGUGUAGAGGUGAAAUUCGUAGAUAUUCGGAAGAACACCAGUGGCGAAGGCGACUUACUGGACACAUAUUGACGCUGAGGUGCGAAAGCGUGGGGAGCAAACAGG